rnacentral:rRNA from 1 species
UCAGGCCUAACACAUGCAAGUCGAACGAACCCUUCGGGGUUAGUGGCGCACGGGUGCGUAACGCGUGGGAAUCUGCCCUUUGCUUCGGAAUAACAGUUAGAAAUGACUGCUAAUACCGGAUGAUGUCUUCGGACCAAAGAUUUAUCGGCAAGGGAUGAGCCCGCGUAGGAUUAGGUAGUUGGUGGGGUAAAGGCCUACCAAGCCGACGAUCCUUAGCUGGUCUGAGAGGAUGAUCAGCCACACUGGGACUGAGACACGGCCCAGACUCCUACGGGAGGCAGCAGUGGGGAAUAUAAAGAAUGGGCGCAAGCCUGAUCC